CCUACGGGGGGCAGCAGUGAGGAAUAUUGGUCAAUGGGCGCGAGCCUGAACCAGCCAAGUAGCGUGAAGGAUGACUGCCCUAUGGGUUGUAAACUUCUUUUAUAAAGGAAUAAAACGAGGCACGUGUGCCUUUUUGCAUGUACUUUAUGAAUAAGGAUCGGCUAACUCCGUGCCAGCAGCCGCGGUAAUACGGAGGAUCCGAGCGUUAUCCGGAUUUAUUGGGUUUAAAGGGAGCGUAGUUGGGUUGUUAAGUCAGUUGUGAAAGUUUGUGGCUCAACCGUAAAAUUGCAAUUGAUACUGGCAGCCUUGAGUACAGUUGAGGUAGGCGGAAUUCGUGGUGUAGCGGUGAAAUGCUUAGAUAUCACGAAGAACUCCGAUUGCGAAGGCAGCUUACUAAACUGCCACUGACAUUGAUGCUCGAAAGUGUGGGUAUCAAACAGGAUUAGAUACCCCAGUAGUC
rnacentral:rRNA from 1 species